rnacentral:lncRNA from 1 species
UGACAGUGAGUUCUCCAUAAUCAUAUGCUCAUUUCUGCUACCUCUGAUUCACAACCCUUACCUUCUUUCUUAGAAUCAAUGCUAAACAACAGUUCCAAGGCAGAAGAGCCAUAAGGGCUGGGCAUUGAUGUCACACAGCUGGAAGUGUCUGAGGUCAUAUUUGCACCCAGGACCGACCCCAGGCCUGGUUCUCUGUCCACUGAACCACCUAGCUGCCUCCCAUGUUCUUAAUAAUAAAAAAGCCUGUAUACAACACUUUGAGGUUUGCAAAACACUUUUCAAAGUCACAUUUAAGACUCCCAACAACACUGAGAGAGCACAGAGACAAAAGAAAACAGAUUUGACGGCAUUUUUGGCCAGGCGCAACUAUAUAAUAUGUCAUUAAAAACCCUACAGUUCUUGAUUUUGGCAUUUUCACUGUGUGCUUUAGAUUUGGAGUUGUUAUUGAAUUCAGCAAACUUGACACCCACGUUCACCAAGAUUUCAUAGAUUUGCCCAUCAACACUGGCCCAAAGUCCGAUCUCGAUCUCUGAACAUCAUUUCCGGAUAUUUAUGUUACCUGGUCCUUUUUCUCCUGUUUCAUGACCUGAAAGUGAACACAUUUUGUUUUUCCAGGGAUGGAAAAACUCUGGUUUUUACCCACAAUGCCUUCAAAUCCCAAGACCCUAGAACUAGAAAUGAAAGGCCUCCGAGAAACCAUGUAGUUCAAAUUCUUAUUUAAGAAAUGAGGAGACUGAGGCUGAGAAAGGCAAAAGUGACUGGCCUUUCCGUGGGAGAGGAGGAAAAGAUGGACUCUGAAACCUGGUCUUUGCACAGAUAAAAAUAGGAAUGGAGGGUGAGAUUGGAUUUCUGAGACUCCAUCUUGUGCCUGAGAAAGAAUCCUCCCCAAGACAAAUCUGAUCAGCACAGCUUCAGCUCGAAGACCUCCCUGGAGAGGGAGCCCACCAACCAGCUGCCUAGGCAGUACACCCUCUUCUUGGACAGCUCCUCAAGCCUCAGUGUGGGUCCCCUCCAGGUCACUCCUCGUCCUCACUUAGCUAGAAGGAGCCUGACUACUCGGUCAUUUUGUCUCUGAGAGAUAAAAGGAAUGAGCCUGUGGAGACCUUCAUGGCAGGGCCUGGAAGAAGGGCAGCUCCAAAGUUCCUCUUUGUUUCCUCCUCUAUCAUUAUAUGCCCAUUUGGCUGAUCGAUCAUACUGAUCACUUCCAUCAGCAGUCAUGGCCUGCCAAAAUCUCACUAUGACAGACUUAAAUGACACACCAGCCCCCACACUUGGAUUAAGGCUUCAUUACAAUGAACACUGGUUUUUACAAAUGGG